rnacentral:rRNA from 1 species
UACGUAGGUGGCAAGCGUUGUCCGGAUUUACUGGGCGUAAAGAGCGCGCAGGCGGUCGUUCAAGUCGCGUGUGAAAGCCCCCCGGCUCAACUGGGGAGGGUCACGCGAUACUGAUCGACUGGAAGGCAGGAGAGGGUAGUGGAAUUCCCGGUGUAGAGGUGAAAUGCGUGGAUAUCGAGAAGAACACUUAGGGCGAAGGCAAGACUCUGGACAAAUGCUGACGCUCAUGCACGAAGGCUAGGGUAGCGAACGGG